UACGUAGGGGGCAAGCGUUGUCCGGAUUUACUGGGCGUAAAGGGCGCGUAGGCGGCCUUCUAAGUCAGACGUGAAAUCCCUCGGCUCAACCGGGGAACUGCGUCUGAGACUGGAGGGCUUGAAUCCGGGAGAGGGAUGUGGAAUUCCAGGUGUAGCGGUGAAAUGCGUAGAUAUCUGGAGGAACACCGGUGGCGAAGGCGGCAUCCUGGACCGGUAUUGACGCUGAGGCGCGAAAGCCAGGGGAGCAAACGGG
rnacentral:rRNA from 1 species